UGGUGUAAUUGGAAACAUAUCCGGUUGGAAAUCGGGAGGUCCGGAGUUCAAAUCUCGG
rnacentral:tRNA from 1 species